GACGAACGCUGGCGGCGCGCUUAACACAUGCAAGUCGAGCGAGAACCAGGGCUUCGGCCCUGGGGACAGCGGCGAACGGGUGAGUAACACGUGGGUAAUCCACCCUCGGCACCGGAAUAGCCCGGGGAAACCCGGAUUAAUGCCGGAUGGCCCGCCGGCCCUGCGGGGCUGGCGGAAAAGGUAGCUUCGGCCUCCGGCCGAGGACGAGCCCGCGACGGAUUAGCUUGUUGGUGGGGUAACGGCCGACCAGGGCUGCGAUCCGUAGCUGGUCUGAGAGGUGUAUCAGCCACACUGGGACUGAGACACGGCCCAGACUCCUACGGGAGGCAGCAGUGGGGAAUCUUGCGCAAUGGGCGAAAGCCUGACGCAGCGACGCCGCGUGAGGGAAGAAGGCCUUCGGGUUGUAAACCUCUUUCAGGAGGGACGAAGCCACUCGGGUUAAUAGCCCAGAGGGUGACGGUACCUCCAGAAGAAGCCCCGGCUAACUACGUGCCAGCAGCCGCCGCGGUAA
rnacentral:rRNA from 1 species